UGUACAGUGGCAGGGGCUCGAGGUUAAACCAAAUAAUAAAUAAUCAGCUCAUUGCCUUGGUUUUUUCUGUUUCUUUCUUCUUCAUCUUCUUGGAUUCUAACUAUUGAUGAUGUUUCCAGUGAGCUAGACCAACAAAGCUUGUUAGAGAUACUGAAAUGAUAGCACCAUGUCCAGCAGCAAUACUUUAUCCAACAAGUGGAGGCAACAUCCAUUGUUUCAGAGCGAUGA